UCCCUGAUAGCUCAGUUGGUAAAGAAUCUGCUUGCAACGCAGGAGACCCUGGUUUGAUUCCUGGGUCGGGAA
rnacentral:tRNA from 1 species